rnacentral:rRNA from 1 species
UCCUACGGGGGGCUGCAGUCGCGAAAACUUCGCAAUGGGGGCAACCCCGACGAGGGAAUUCCAAGUGCUAGCACUUUGUGUUAGCUGUUCUUCUGUCUAAAAAACAGGAGGAGUAAGGGGCGGGUAAGACGGGUGCCAGCCGCCGCGGUAAUACCCGCGCCCCAAGUGGUGGUCGAUAUUAUUGAGCCUAAAACGUCCGUAGCCGGUCUUCUAAAUCCUUGGGUAAAUCGGGCAGCUUAACUGUCCGAAGUCCGGGGAGACUGGGAGACUUGGGACCGGGAGAGGUCAGAGGUACUUCUGGGGUAGGGGUAAAAUCCUGUAAUCCUGGAAGGACCACCGGUGGCGAAGGCGUCUGACUAGAACGGAUCCGACGGUGAGGGACGAAGCCCUGGGGCGCAAACGGGAUUAGAUACCCGAGUAGUC